rnacentral:rRNA from 1 species
GACAGAGGGUGCAAACGUUGUUCGGAAUUACUGGGCGUAAAGCGCGUGUAGGCGGCUGCGUGUGUCGGGCGUGAAAUCCCAUGGCUCAACCAUGGAAGUGCACCCGAAACUGCGUAGCUAGAGUCCUGGAGAGGAAGGUCGAAUGCUUGGUGUAGAGGUGAAAUUCGUAGAUAUCAAGCGGAACACCGGUGGCGAAGGCGGCCUUCUGGACAGUGACUGACGCUGAGACGCGAAAGCGUGGGGAGCAAACAGG